UACGAAGGGGGCUAGCGUUGCUCGGAAUCACUGGGCGUAAAGCGCACGUAGGCGGAUCGCUAAGUCAGGGGUGAAAUCCUGGAGCUCAACUCCAGAACUGCCUUUGAUACUGGCAAUCUCGAGUCCGGGAGAGGUGAGUGGAACUGCGAGUGUAGAGGUGAAAUUCGUAGAUAUUCGCAAGAACACCAGUGGCGAAGGCGGCUCACUGGCCCGGUACUGACGCUGAGGUGGCGAAAGCGUGGGGAGCAAACAGG
rnacentral:rRNA from 1 species